rnacentral:rRNA from 1 species
UACGUAGGGUGCGAGCGUUGUCCGGAAUUACUGGGCGUAAAGAGCUCGUAGGCGGUUUGUCGCGUCUGCUGUGAAAACCUAAGGCUCAACCUUGGGCUUGCAGUGGGUACGGGCAGACUAGAGUGCGGUAGGGGUGACUGGAAUUCCUGGUGUAGCGGUGGAAUGCGCAGAUAUCAGGAGGAACACCGAUGGCGAAGGCAGGUCACUGGGCCGCAACUGACGCUGAGGAAGCGAAAGCAUGGGGAGCGAACAGG